GCUUUAUAAUAACAAGGAAAACCUUGCAAAUGCACACAAUGCAAGAGAGAUAAAGAGGCUGGUGCUGCUCAGAUUUGAGAGAAUUUGUCCACAUCUACGGCCUACAAGGAUGAAAUGAUGUCGGAAAGAAUGUACAGUAAAUG